rnacentral:rRNA from 1 species
UCUGCCUCCUCCGCCGCGCCGCCACAGCCAGGUCAGGUGCGCCUCCUCCGUCAACCCCCGGCCGCGGCAGCGAAGCCGCCGGAUCGAUCGAGACGAUAGCCGCCGCCCUCCCGCUCCCGAGAUUAGGUUUUAAAACGGAUCGAAUAGUAAUCUUUGUCUGGCGGAUAUAACAAGGCCUGCAACCCAGAAGGAGUGCCCUCGUGCAACAGGCAAAAAGUUAUUUCUUUUGUGCUAUGUUGUUUGGUCUCUUUUUGCAGUUGCAGGGGGAGAAACACUAACAUUCUAGUGGGAGGAACACUUCAUCUCUUCAUUUCUGGUUUAACCGUUUUCAACGGUGUGCAGAUUUAUAGGUUAAAAAAAUCGAUCAGAUUACUAGGAGCAGAUCUAGUCCUGAUGAUGCCUGAAGUAGAUCAUGAUUCUUCUGGUCUUCUUUCUAUUGAGCUUGUUGUUAUAAUAUUAACGAGUUUGAAUAAGUGUGCAGAUUAGGUUAAAAAUGGACUGGGAAUAGCUUGUGCUUUAUAAUGUUCCAACCAAACAGUGAGCGUUACAGGGGUAAAUUCACAGGAAUUGUACAUGUUGGUGAUAUUAAAAAAGAUACAUAGGUCUUGUGAGCCUGAUUGGUUUAAUCCUAUAUGUUCCCUUCGAUAUUUUGUCUUCUGUAAUGCACUAUGACGACCUUAAUCGAGCUUCAGCAUCCUCUGAAGUGCUCCCAAAACAAUGGCGGAGCACUUGGCUUCAAUUUUUGGCACGGAGAAGGAUAGGGUCAACUGCCCCUUUUACUUCAAGAUUGGAGCUUGCCGUCAUGGGGAUCGUUGCUCCCGUCUGCACAACAGGCCAACCACAUCGCCAACCAUUGUGCUUGCUAACAUGUACCAGCGGCCUGAUAUGAUUACCCCUGGAGUUGAUGCCCAAGGUGUGGCUAUUGCACCAGAGAAGAUGCAGGAGCACUUUGAGGACUUCUAUGAGGAUAUCUAUGAGGAGCUGAGCAAGUUUGGUGAGGUUGAGACCCUGAAUGUGUGUGACAACCUGGCUGACCACAUGAUCGGGAAUGUCUAUGUCCAGUUCAGGGAGGAGGAGCAGGCAGUGGCUGCUCACAAUGCCCUCCAAGGCCGCUUUUACUCUGGUCGCCCAAUCAUUGUGGAGUACUCUCCUGUGACGGACUUCCGUGAGGCGACCUGCAGGCAGUUUGAGGAGAACAGCUGCAACCGUGGCGGCUACUGCAACUUCAUGCACGUGAAGCAGAUUGGCAGGGAGCUCAGGAGGAAGCUAUAUGGGGGGCGGUCCAGGAGGAGCCACGGGAGGAGCCGCAGCCCAAGCCCACAGCACAGGAGGGACAACCGUGACCGUGGUGGUGACUUCCGCCGUGAUGGCCGGGAUGAAUACCGUGGCGGCGGCGGCGGUGGCGGUUACCGUGGAGGCGAUGGAGGUGAUGGUGGCGGUUACUGUGGAGGCGGUGGUGGUGGCUACCGUGGAGGUGAUGGGGGCGGCUAUCGUGGUGGUGGCGGCGGCGGUUACCGUGGUGGCGGCAGAGGAGGUGGUGGCAGGCAUGAUAGGUAUGAUGAUGGACCGAGGCGCAGGUAUGGUGGCAGCCCGCCACGACGUGGAAGGAGCCCUCCUGCAAGGGAGAACAGUGAGGAGCGCAGGGCCAAGAUCGAGCAGUGGAACCGUGAGAGGGAGGAGAAGUGAUGAAACCGCGAGUAGUGGAACCGCAAGCGUCAUUUUACCUUUUCAUUCUUGUGUCGUUAGUUUGCUCCUAUGUUGAGUAUCUGUUGGUUUGCCGUCAGACAUUAGUGUGGGUCGAUAUAUUACUAUUGCCUUGUUGAGUGACCUGUCAAGUGCAGGAUUCUAGUUGAGGCGUGUAAGCUGCUAUUUGUGCUCGAUAUUUAUCUGCAGGAUUCUCGUAUUAUCUGCCAAGUUUACAGUGUUCUGCUUUUGUUGGUUUGAUCUUA